AAUAUCGGUUUCCCGCAGGAACAAUGGCGCUGUCGUGGCACAGCAGAGCAGCUCUGAAGAUGCAAAGCAUUCUGGGUGUGGACGAUCAGCCAGUGAAGAUAAUGAAUGUCGGAUGUCACUGACUAGCAGCUUCAUUUUGAAUGAGGGUCGCUGUCUGCCCAUUGAUAAGAGGCCGGAUUGUCUUGGAAGUUCCAAAGUUGCAACGAUUUCUGGCUAGUGCCACGAGGUUUACUUGACUGUUGUAUGAAAAGCUGAUGAGAAAACCAUCCAGAAAAAAGCUCUUCGUUUUACAAACACGAAAAUAAAACAUGUAAUUUUGGAUUAUGUUGUUUUUAA
rnacentral:lncRNA from 1 species